GGGCGGUUAGCUCAGCUGGGAGAGCAUCUGCCUUACAAGCAGAGGGUCACAGGUUCGAGCCCUGUACCGCCCACCA
rnacentral:tRNA from 1 species